GGUCUCUCUCUCUCUCUCUCUCUCUCUCUCUCUCACAAUCUCAAUCUCGUAAGCAACAUUACAUCGAUUUCGAUUCUGCGAUCUCAAUUUCUCUAGCAAUGGCGUCGUCUGGUGUUUUCCCUUUCGAGAACCCCAUCCUCAACGAGCUUGUGGAGGCCCUCGUCGAUAUCAAAAGCAAAACCCUAGUCGACGGCGGGAAUGUCACGACGUCGGGCCCAGUUCCGCUGCCUCUGCCGGCGGUGGCGUUCCCGAGGAGGAAAAGAUCGAGACAGAUCACUAUGAAGGGCGUCCUCGAGGCCUACGAGAAAGAAAAUGAAGAAGACGAUCCAAUGUGGGUCCCUACUUCGAAGGUCAAGAAGAGGAAGUCGACGACGAUUAGGGUUUCUGAUAAUGGAUCCAGCAAGAAGAUGAAUCCGAUCAAAUAUUCAAUUGAACCACCAAAGUACCUUAUGGAGGCGAUUUCAGCUACAAAGUUUAAACUCGUAAAGCUGCAAUGUUCAGAAGCAGAAAGAGAAAGUGGAAGACAUUCAGCAUGUCGAGGAAAGCAACAGCAACAUGAAGAAAGCAAAGUUAAUGUCAAUCUCACAACUAGAAGCUACGAACUGCUGUUUCAGCCAGCUUGAAGUAGGCCAGACUUCUCCCUUGCACAACAAGCUCCCUUCAAACCAAAGUAAAGAAAGUUGCUUUUUCUGACAUUUGUCUGGCAAGAACUCCUGGAUGAUAUCAGUCAGUGCACUAAACAUGGGGGACUGGUUAUAGGUUCCUUAAAAAAGCCAUGCUUGCGCAGAUUAGGAGUCCUUGAAGAUUCUGGUUGUUUUGUUAAAAGGUAAAGUUAAGGUAAGCAAUUGGAUGGUUAUAUCACAUUCAAUGCCUGUUGAAUUCAUGAAUCUGAUAGAUUUGUAAUAUCCCAGAUUAAGUUUUAAUAGGAUUCAUAGUAAUAGGAACAUUAGAUCAGUUAUUGUUUGGAGCCAGCAAAGGAGGGUUAGGUAGCUGUAUAUAAUUUUUAUAAUUUUAAUUUAAUAUUUACAGGUUUUAAGUAACUUGUAUGCUACAUGAAUUAUUUACUAAACAAGAGUUACGAGAUGGGUCCUGGUUCAUAUAAGGUCCUUAUAAGCACACCUAUAUCCUAUCAGUUUUUAGGCAGGGACCCAGUACAUACUCAUUCAUAAGUGAGUCUGGUCUAGGUCCUGGUUGGAUCUGGAUUGAGUCCAACUGCAAGUCAGGUGUUGAUAUUCAGCCUAGUUGAGUCUAAAGACAAUGAACCAAAUUAUAGUUAUUGCCUAUCUGAAUGCUGAUUAGCAUUCUGCUAAUGUGUUGGACAUAAUAAUUGUCCCUAUAUUUUGGGGAAAUGACAUGCUGGAGUUGUGGUAACCAAUUGGAUUGUGCAGGCUAACCCCCUGAUUGGCAGGAAAUAACAUGUUACAAGAUUUUUUAGUAAUAAUCUCGAAGAACACAUGAUGUCCAUGUUUCAGGUUUUAGAGAGCUUAGUAAAUUUUGCCUGUCAAAAGCUCCUCUAGACAUCAGUCAACACACCUGCACAGGAAGGAUUGUCUAUGGGUUUGUCCAUGGGCGGAUGCCAUAAAGCAUUGUCAGCUGAAGUGAUGGUAUGUGCUGAUUAGAAGUCCUGUUAGAAGGUAAGUUUUUUUUAAUCUUUGUGAAGUAAGAUGCAAACCUGCUGGCUGGAAGUUCUUGAAAUGCUGCUGGGCUUGUUAGAAAAAGAUAAGUUUUUUAAAGAUCUUUUUCAUAUAAGAUGGGAACAUACUAGUUGAACUUUAGUCUCUUUCCUCCAACUAGAACUUCUUUUACCUGAUAACAUGGAUCAUCUUCCAUCAAGUUUUGCUUUACACUUAUGUUACUGUUUUCAUACCUUCUGUUUUUCCCCCGUCUCAAAUAAAGGCUAAAAACUUAUAGAAGAAACACAAUAUGGGAUCAAAGGACUGUUGUCAUAUACCAUUUAGUUUUUUUUUACUUGUAAUUGGUACAUCAUAAACUUCAAAAACCAAUAGUUACAGCAUAGAAUAUGAUUUUUCAUCUUGACCGUCUGUAGAAGGCAGUAAUAUAGAUUGAAUCACUAUAUCCAGCUACAUUUCAUAAUUCAUACAAUAAGGUCCUGCCUCAGCGUCCAAUUAAUUGGGAUGUGGUGAUGAUCUGUUGGACUGUUCAUCCAAUAGCAUGUUUGGAUCUGAAAGGGUUUGAAACCAUCCAAGAUUUGUUUAAGCAAACAUCAGAUUCAGAUUUCAAGUGGGAUGUCAAGGUCUGUUGGUUAUGAAAUUUUGAUUGUGAAUCAUAAGAUGCAACAUUUGUUUGGAGAAUAACAGUUAUGUACUCUGCUUAGCAAUCAGAUUGAAUCUAUUAAGUUUACAAGUAGUUCCUUCAGAACACCGUUAUGCAUUGCCCAAUGUACCAGCAUAUGCUAUUCAAGAAUUACUGAAUCUUGUUUUCCAUCUAAGUACAAGAUCUUAAUUGUGAAUUACUUCUUUUCUAUUAUAGAAUUGUUGAUGCUGAUACUAAACUUUAGUUAUUAUCAUGUUUCGUUCAUUAUUACAUGGUGUGAAGAGUGUGGGAGUAUAGCCAGUGCAAGGGUCAAUGUGGCAAAUAAAAGAAAAUUAAAGUUUCUGUGCAAGGCAGCCCUUGAAAACAGCUAUCUUCCCUAAAAUGUUGGGAGUUUUUUUAAUGGUCAUAGUUGAUUUUUGAGAGUAAUAUUGAUGAGGACAAUAAUGACAAUUUUCCAUAUUUGUUAUUUGACUUUCUUUUAUUUUAGUUUUGAAUAAGAAAGAUUUGACAAGUUUGACCAGAUCUUAAUUUAGUUUUAAUUGUGAGAGAUUUGAGUGAUUUUCUAUUUUGGUAGGAUUUUAAUUUUGAAUUUUGAAUUUUUGGGUCAAAUUUGGUAGUAAAGUCAGUUGUGGCAAUUUGAGUGAUUUGAGAAAUUUCAGAAUCUGUAAUUUUUUCUCUUUAAAGGACUGCUAUAAUCAGAUUUUUGAGGAAAAGAUUUGAAUCGAUGAAAAAUUUUGUUAACUCAUUGGUGUGAAGCCUCGGGUGUGAAACCCUAGACCGACGGGUGUGAAACCCUAGGCCGACUCCCUUGACUCCUAUUCCACAAACAGUCGCCACUCUCCCUAGUUUCUUCUUCGUUUUCCCAAACAAUCGCCCCCGCUCUUCUCCUCCUCUAGCAGCCACCGCAGUCACCUCCUCCCCUGCUCCUUUUCACUCGA